rnacentral:rRNA from 1 species
AAGGAUCAUUACCGAGAGCGGGGCCUCGCGCUCCCGGGGGCUUCGGCCCCCAACUCUUCACCCUGUGUGUACCCAUCUUAGUUGCUUUGACGGGCCCCGAGGGGUCUCUUUCGCGCCGGCCCGGAGGGCUCGGUGAGCGUCCGUCAGAUGCCUUCCUAAAUACUGCUUAUCAGUGCCGUCCGAGUAUCAAUAUACAAUAUAUUAAAACUUUCAACAACGGAUCUCUUGGUUCCAGCAUCGAUGAAGAACGCAGCGAAAUGCGAUAAGUAAUGUGAAUUGCAGAAUUCAGUGAAUCAUCGAAUCUUUGAACGCACAUUGCGCCCCUCGGUAUUCCGGGGGGCAUGCCUGUUCGAGCGUCAUUACACCCCUCAAGCGUAGCUUGGUAUUGGGCCCUCGCCCCCGCGGCGUGCCCGAAAAGCAGUGGCGGUCCAGCGUGACUUUAAGCGUAGUAAACUUAUCCCGCUUUGAAAGUUCGCGUCCGGCCGGCCAGAAGCUCUAUAUGCUUUAAUAAUUGACCUCGGAUCAGGUAGGGAUACCCGCUGAACUUAA